UACGUAGGGGGCGAGCGUUGUCCGGAGUUACUGGGCGUAAAGGGCGUGCAGGCGGUGCGGUAAGUUUGGAGUGACAGUACCCGGCUUAACUGGGUAAGGUCUUCAAAAACUGCUGGACUUGAGGGCCAGAGAGGGACAUAGAAUUCCGGGUGGAGUGGUGAAAUGCGUAGAUAUCCGGAGGAAUACCAAAGGCGAAGGCAGUGUCCUGGAUGGUACCUGACGCUGAGGCGCGAAAGCUAGGGGAGCGAACAGG
rnacentral:rRNA from 1 species